UACGUAGGGUGCGAGCGUUGUCCGGAAUUAUUGGGCGUAAAGAGCUUGUAGGCGGUUUGUCGCGUCUGCCGUGAAAAUCCGAGGCUCAACCUCGGACUUGCGGUGGGUACGGGCAGACUAGAGUGUGGUAGGGGAGACUGGAAUUCCUGGUGUAGCGGUGAAAUGCGCAGAUAUCAGGAGGAACACCGAGUGGCGAAGGCAGGUCUCUGGGCCACUACUGACGCUGAGAAGCGAAAGCAUGGGGAGCGAACAGG
rnacentral:rRNA from 1 species